GUACCUUCAAGCUCUGCUUGGUGUUGGGUGUUUGUCCUUGCUCUAGUGGCGGGACUCGCCUCAAAGUAAUUGGCAGCCAGUGUUUUGGUUUUGAAGCGCAGCACAAGUCGCGAUUCAAGUCUAUACGCUAGUUUCCACAAGUCUUUUAUCAC
rnacentral:misc_RNA from 1 species